AAGAUCAUACUUCACAGGAUCAUUUCUGUAGUAUAUCUUCACAUACUCUAGCACUAUCACUAGAACUAACACAAAACCUAGAACUAGAAUCAUUCGGGUUUAGCCAUCUUGAGAGGCGAAUGGCUAAACCCGAAUGUUUCUAGUUCUAGGU